rnacentral:rRNA from 1 species
GACGAACGCUGGCGGCGUGCCUAAUACAUGCAAGUAGAACGCUGAAGAGAGGAGCUUGCUCUUCUUGGAUGAGUUGCGAACGGGUGAGUAACGCGUAGGUAACCUGCCUGGUAGCGGGGGAUAACUAUUGGAAACGAUAGCUAAUACCGCAUGAAAUUGAUUAUUGCAUGAUAAUUAAUUGAAAGAUGCAAUUGCAUCACUACCAGAUGGACCUGCGUUGUAUUAGCUAGUUGGUGAGGUAACGGCUCACCAAGGCGACGAUACAUAGCCGACCUGAGAGGGUGAUCGGCCACACUGGGACUGAGACACGGCCCAGACUCCUACGGGAGGCAGCAGUAGGGAAUCUUCGGCAAUGGGGGGAACCCUGACCGAGCAACGCCGCGUGAGUGAAGAAGGUUUUCGGAUCGUAAAGCUCUGUUGUAAGAGAAGAACGGGUGUGAGAGUGGAAAGUUCACACUGUGACGGUAUCUUACCAGAAAGGGACGGCUAACUACGUGCCAGCAGCCGCGGUAAUACGUAGGUCCCGAGCGUUGUCCGGAUUUAUUGGGCGUAAAGCGAGCGCAGGCGGUUAGAUAAGUCUGAAGUUAAAGGCUGUGGCUUAACCAUAGUAUGCUUUGGAAACUGUUUAACUUGAGUGCAGAAGGGGAGAGUGGAAUUCCAUGUGUAGCGGUGAAAUGCGUAGAUAUAUGGAGGAACACCGGUGGCGAAAGCGGCUCUCUGGUCUGUAACUGACGCUGAGGCUCGAAAGCGUGGGGAGCGAACAGGAUUAGAUACCCUGGUAGUCCACGCCGUAAACGAUGAGUGCUAGGUGUUAGGCCCUUUCCGGGGCUUAGUGCCGCAGCUAACGCAUUAAGCACUCCGCCUGGGGAGUACGACCGCAAGGUUGAAACUCAAAGGAAUUGACGGGGGCCCGCACAAGCGGUGGAGCAUGUGGUUUAAUUCGAAGCAACGCGAAGAACCUUACCAGGUCUUGACAUCCCUCUGACCGCUCUAGAGAUAGAGUUUUCCUUCGGGACAGAGGUGACAGGUGGUGCAUGGUUGUCGUCAGCUCGUGUCGUGAGAUGUUGGGUUAAGUCCCGCAACGAGCGCAACCCCUAUUGUUAGUUGCCAUCAUUCAGUUGGGCACUCUAGCGAGACUGCCGGUAAUAAACCGGAGGAAGGUGGGGAUGACGUCAAAUCAUCAUGCCCCUUAUGACCUGGGCUACACACGUGCUACAAUGGCUGGUACAACGAGUCGCAAGCCGGUGACGGCAAGCUAAUCUCUGAAAGCCAGUCUCAGUUCGGAUUGUAGGCUGCAACUCGCCUACAUGAAGUCGGAAUCGCUAGUAAUCGCGGAUCAGCACGCCGCGGUGAAUACGUUCCCGGGCC